rnacentral:rRNA from 1 species
GUGGGUAACCUGCCUUAUAGUGGGGGAUAGCCUUUCGAAAGGAAGAUUAAUACCGCAUAAGAUUGUAGUAUCGCAUGAUAUAGCAAUUAAAGGAGCAAUCCGCUAUAAGAUGGACCCGCGUCGCAUUAGCUAGUUGGUGAGGUAAUGGCUCACCAAGGCGACGAUGCGUAGCCGACCUGAGAGGGUGAUCGGCCACAUUGGGACUGAGACACGGCCCAGACUCCUACGGGAGGCAGCAUG